UAUGAGCAGGCGCUAAACCUGGUUUAGGUAUUCAGGCAGCGCGCGGCCCGGCUCGUAACUCCUCCUGCGGCAGCAGGCGUAUUGUUGGCCUCGCCUCGACCCCGGAAGUGACUUCUGGAAGUGACCCAGGAAGUGACAUACUCUGAGCAGCUACAAAAAGACCAGUCUAUCCUGCUGGAGACAGUGGCCAUGUGAAGAAAGAGCUCUUGCAGUAUGAAAGACCACAUGGAAAGAGAGGCCACAUGGAACCAACAGUCAGCAUCUUGGUUUCAGACACGUGAAGAAAUUCAUCUCAGACUGUGUAUCCUAAAUCAGGCACUUGCUGAAUCCAACUACAUGAGUGAGACCAGUUGACAACACAUGGAGCAGACAUGAGCUGUUCUCAGUGAGUCCUACACAAAUUCCUGACUCACAACACUGUGAGCAAUAAAAUGGUUGUUAUUUUAAGCCACUGAA
rnacentral:antisense_RNA from 1 species